rnacentral:lncRNA from 1 species
GGUGAUUUCAUCAAUGCUUUUUUGGGGAAAUAUUAAAACCUAAAUUCUAUCAUGUUUUCUAAUUCUUUUGGAUCUCCUGCUUUUGCUGACACACUCAGUACACAACCCUGUAAGACCCACCUUAAUGCCAGUUCUGAGGUUGAGGGGACCUGGCCCAGCUAUGUGGAAGUGGUGGUGACAGCUUCUACCUGGGAGACCAGCAGUGCAAGGUGUGGUUAGGGAGGCGGGGAGGCUGCAAACUUUAGAAUGAGCUACUGCUCCAAAAAUUUCUGGAGUGCCUGUUUUCCCCAUUCCUAGGCUCUGAGUCAAGAAUGUAAUUGAAGCCAGGGGACAAUAGAGUGUGAAAGGAAAGAUGUCCCCUGGUGUCAGAUACCCUAGCCAACCAGACCCAGACACACAGAGCAGGUGCUUGGCUUUUGCUCCUGGUGCUGGCUGGGUCCCUGCACCCUGCCCCACACUCUGUGAUAAAAGCCACAGCUCCUGCCUCUGUACCUCCAGGACGAGCUCUGACUGAGAAGAGCCUGCUUCCUCCUCCCAACCCCUUGUUUCCAGGCUAGAGAUACAGAGGCAGGAGCCAUAUCUCAACAGAGGAAACCAUGAAGCAGGACCUCAGAUGCUAAGGACUUCCCAGAGGAGGGAGAGGAUUUUGUUAUUGUCUGAAGAAGAAGUUACCCUAGAUAACCUUCUGGUGUGUGGGAAGAGGAUCAAUAGCCGGGGGGAAAAUCCAAGUGGGCUAUCUGGCUCUGAACCAUCCUGAUGAACACCAGAGGCAGGCUUGAAAGAGCAAGGGCAGCACCAUAUGGCAGCCUCCCAGGUUUCCUCUGGAGAUGGGGAUCUACUGCAGUCUCUUAAGAACGAACGAGGGCUGAUCUGUCUUCACUUGUAUUUGCUGCAAGGUCAACCAUCAGUAUCUGAUGUUCUGUUCCCUUUCACUCAGCAACACAUCCAAAUGCAGUUCAAGAAAUGGAGUAACAGAAAUUUUCAAGAGCCAGUAUUUUACUUAAAAAUGAGAUAUGGCUCUUGCUACUCUGAAACAUUCUUCACCUUCUAUGCACAGGAGCUGCUUUUCUUCUGCUGCAAAAUGUCUGAAACAUGUGGAAGAAGAGCCCAAACAGGGCUUUGGAGUUGCACAGGCCUGAAUUUGACAUCUGACCACACUACUUGCGAGCUCUGGACCAGAGAGCAGGUUCGCUCAGCCUCCCUGAGCCUGUUCU